UAUUCUAUUACGAGUCGUUCGGUAAAAGAGUCAACAGCUGAGUGUGAGAACUCAAUGGAUGCAAGCGGAAGCAGUACGGGAGUGUGAUGUUCUUAAAACAAAUACUUAAGUGUUAACUAGACUGACGUGACUUACGGUUCAAAAAUUUUGUCACAAACAACAAAGGCCGUCAAUCAUCCAGACCUGUCAUAUUAAGACUGUCAUCUUCGGAAAGACUGUUCCGCUGUGUGAAUAUAGGUCCGGGUUCAUCUUCGAUAAGAGCAGCGCGUAAUACUGCCUCAAGCCGCGGUUGGAUAUCCCCCAAUAAGGCUCUUUGGCAAGGCUCUGUGGCCCAACAGGACUGCAUUAUGUCCCAACACUCGUCUGAAAACUGGGGCAAGCGUUCCGGUCGAAGACCUGAAAAUAUUGUCAAUUAGGUUUAUAAAUAACUGGAAACGAGAAAUUUUUGUUUCAUCAAUAAAGCAUGCAGUGUUUAUAAAUAUAGUUGAGAGAUACAGAUAAAGUUAAGAAUUUCCAACAGUGCUGCCAUCUUAUGAGCAAAAAUAUGUUCGUUCCCAAUUUAAAUAAAUUUACAAAAAAAAAUCAGUAAUUAUAUCACGAUUCGAUCAUGUAGAUUUAACUCUAUUGUUAUACGCAUUUCCUUUAUAUUGACUUGAUUAUAUACGAGUCGCAGUAAUCGAAAUGAGACAGACCUAUCAUCAGCACUGUCAUUUAAGAACUUUCUUUUACUCUUAUUCGUAAAAAGAACAAAACAUUAUUUACUUCUUUUCAUCGUAGCGUAAACGCAAUUUGACAGAAAGAGACAAAUGAGUACUUUAUAACAGUUGCAACAGUGGCACUGAGGUUGACUUGGUUUUUAUAAUUGUGUCAUUAUUAAAUCAUUUUUGAAGGCAUAGGCAGGGACCGUAUCUAUUUGUCUAUACUUUCUAAAAUAAAAAGGAAGUUGAGAUGUAUAUGCAUUGUAUUGUAAGAUAAAUGACUCUGAUCUCACCUCGUUUUACCUUACUCCAGAGCUGUUCCUUGUUCUGGAAAGUCUCAAAAGCAGCUGGCAAGCGGAUACUUCCCGCACAGAGAUACCUGCCAUGAACAUUUAGUUAUAAGAAGAGUAUCCCAAAUGCAUACACAUCGACCGCACUCUGAUAUCUUCCGGCCAGCAGUUCUGGUGCCAUAUGUACAGGUGUUCCUACCAAAGACCCCGAUACCAGCGCUCCAGCGGCACAGAAGCCCAGAUCAGAUAAUGCAGCUCUAUUCUCGUUGUUCAAGAGGACAUUCUUGAGUUUAAUAUCUCGAUGGACUAGGCCUAGGGAGUGAAGAUGUCGGAUGCCUGAAACCAAUACAACCACAUUUUCAUCUUCUCAAAGCUGACUCUCAUCCUUUGGGCAAAACUGAGUCCAGCUCUUACGGCAGUGUGAAGAUCGCGAGCCCAUCUCUCUGAGACCAAUGUGACGCUAACACAUCCGCCACCGCCACGCUGUACCAAGGACCCGAGUAGGCGGACGAUACGCGGGUGGGACGGAAUACUCCUGAGUUGGAUAACAUAUUUGAAGUGAUUGCUUGGAAGAGAUCGCUGGAAAGCGAUAAGGCCGCCAGUUGCCC